rnacentral:rRNA from 1 species
AUACGGAGGGUGCAAGCGUUACUCGGAAUCACUGGGCGUAAAGCGCGCGCAGGCGGCUAUUUAAGUUGGAUGUGAAAGCCUAUGGCUCAACCAUAGAACUGCAUCCAAAACUAUUUAGCUAGAGUGUGGGAGAGGAAGAUGGAAUUAGUUGUGUAGGGGUGAAAUCCGUAGAGAUAACUAGGAAUACCAAAAGCGAAGGCAAUCUUCUGGAACACUACUGACGCUGAGGCGCGAAAGCGUGGGGAGCAAACAGGAUUAGAAACCCUAGUAGUCC